CCAAACUCUACCCCAUUAAGAAUUUGGGAAUUAUUUUUUCCUAUUCUCCACCCCAUUCCCCACAAAUUAUUCAAAAUCCACCCCAUAAGCACCAAACUCAUGGAGAAUUUUGUCAUCCCUAUAAAAAAUAAUACAAAAAAUGAAAUAAAAAACAAUAAUAUAGAAUAGUUAAAACUAGUAUUAGAUUUCAAUAUCAACUCAUAAUAUGAAAUUACAAAACAUCUCAAAUAAUAAAUAUCAAAACUAUGAAUUAAAAAAAGAAAUUAUAAUAUGAAAUUACAAAUUAAUUUCAAACUAAAUACAAAAAAUUCAUUCUUCUAAAAUCUCCAACCAGACCAUCAUCAUUAAUCUGCCAAUUAAAGCAAAGCAUUAAACAAGUAAAUAAUUUGUAGAGUUUAUGACCAUGAUCAUUCAUAAUUGAGCAUCACAAUAGGCAUCAAGCACAUACCAAAAAAAGAAAAAUAAAUACUAUUCAGAACAUGGCUAUGUCUCCUCUUCAUCAUCAUUAUCAGUCACUUCUCCAUUCAUUUCUUCCAUAUUCAUCACCUUAUCUCUAGUAAUUCCACCUAUUUGAAAAAAAAAAUGUAAAAUAUAAAGAAAACAAAUACUAUCAAAAUCGAAUAAAAUGCAAAAGUGAGCUGAAAUUGAUACCUUUCAAUUGAGCCCAUAUCCAAUUUUGAGUACACAUUAAGGGCUCUAAUAUACUUGGAUGAAGCCUACUACGAUGUGGGCUUAAAAAUCGACAUCCCGCACUAAAAGCAAACUCGAAAGCAACUGUAGAGACCAGAACAACCAGCAAAUCUCUAGCAGUCUCAUACAAUAUAGGAUAUCUACUUCUAUUCACCUUCCACCACAUUAAAAUAUCAAAGUCUGGAGUAGUCUUAUUCUCCUCUUCCAAGUAAGUAUCUUUCCUACUUAACUGAUCAUUUACAAAUAUGUUGACUUUUGAAUGCAUUAAACUUUUGCACAUCCCACAUGCCCAUCACAACUAAACUAGAACUAAAAUUACAAACGACACUAGACUCAUCAAAUCCUUCAACCAAAUUCGAUCCAACCAUACUCUUUAUAUAUAUAUAUAUUCUGAAUAUAAGUCAAACCAAAGAGUACAGAUUCUAUCAAUAUGAGUUGAUGCAUCACUGCCAUAAAUAUGAGGAAAGAAAUAAUUAGGGUUGGCAAAAUCCGGAUCUGGAUUCGGAUGUAGGUGCAUCCGGAUCCGGAUCCGGAUGUAAGUUUUUAAAUCUGGAUCCGCAUCCGGAUCCGUAAAAAAAGAUGCAAAUCCGGAUGGGAGUUAAUAUCCGCAACGGAUGCGGGUGGAUAUUCCGGAUAUCCGGAUUUGCAAAAAUUAAAAUUCAAUAAUUUAAUAAUUUACCUAAUAAUAUCAAAUAAAAUUCAAUCAUAAUUCAACAAUUAAUAAUUCAACAUGAAUAACAUACAAUAAUCUCAUAAAUCUACAAAUAAAAUUUUAUUUUUUAUUUCAUUUUUAAUAUAUAUGUUUAAUUUAAUUUUUUAAUUUAAAAUAAAAUUCAAUAAUUUACCUAAUCAAAUCAAAUGAAAUUCAAUCAUAAUCCAAAAUUAAUAAUUCAACAUGAAUAAGAUACAACAAAAUCAUAAAUCCACAAAUAAAAUUUAAUUUUUAUUUAAUUUUUAAUAUAUAUUUUUAAUUUCUGCUGUACAUCCACAAAUAAAAUUUAAUUUUUAAUAUAUAUUUUUAAUUUAAAAUUUAAUUGAAAAUAAAAUUCAAUAAUUGACCUAAUAAUAUCAAAUAAAAUUCAAUCAUAAUUCAACAAUUAAUAAGUCAACAUCAAUACUAUACAACAACAUCAUAAAUCCACAAAUAAAAUUUAUUUUUAAUUUUUAAUAUAUUUUUUCAAUUUAAUUUUUAAUCUAAAAUAAAAUUUAUCCAGAUUCGGAUAUCCGAUUUUUCCGGAUGCACUUGCAUCCGGAUCCUAAAUUUCCAUGUCCGGAUCUGAAUUUUUCUAGAUCCGAGAUGGAUCCGGAUGUAUUUGACAUCCCUAGAAAUAAUCCACUAGAACCAUUUGGUAUCUAGGAUCCAAUACAACAGCAACAACCAUCACACCAUGGAUUUCAUCCCAAUAUUUUCCAAACUUUUCUAACAUAAUUUUCGCCAUAUUUUUUUAUCACAUCACAUGAAGAAUUAAGUCAAGCAUUCAUUGAUAAUCCAAUUUCACAAAUUAUUGGAAAAAAUAAGUUAGUUGUUGGGUAUUUAGUACCAGAAAACAUCUCUGUCAUGGUAUAAAAGGGUUUCAAAUGCUCACAUACUACUCUUGCCAACUCCCACUCCACUUCAGUGGGCAAGUGAUUAUAUUGGUUAUCACGAUGCUUUAGACGAGUAAAAACAUCUUUAUAAAUCAAAGCAACUUCAAGCAUCAAAUAUGUUGAAUUUCACCUAGUUUUACAAUCAAUCACUAAACUCUUAGAACAAUUCAACUUCAAUUGGCAGUUAGCCGUAUCUUCAAACUACUCUAUCCUUUUAGGUGAUGAUAUCCAGUAAUUAACACUGUUUCUAACCUUUUCAAUCCCAUCACCUAUUGGAUCUAAUCUAUCCUUAACAAUUAAAUUUAAAAUGUGAGCACACCAUCUCAUAUGCAACAAUUUUUCAUUUAAUUCUAAUGAACCAAAAGGAAACUUAGCCAACAAAAGUGGAAUCAUAGCAUCAUUAGUGGAACAAUUAUGAACUGUUAUUGUAGAUAACCUUCUAUCUACAUUCCAAUCCAAUAGACACUUAGCCAACUCAUUAGAAAGUGCUUCAGCAGUGUGUGGAGAAGGCACAUAUAUAAAUCUAGACAAUUCAAUAAAAGAAUAAACAAAAUUACGAAUGAGAAUAAAUAAAAUAAAGUACAUCUAAUAAAAUAUAAAUAACAUUUAUUAAACUUUUAAAUUGGUACCUUAAGAUUGGAUUUCGUAGAGUCCAUGAAUUGUCAAUAAAAUGCGUCGUCAUAACCAUAUAUCCCUUUUUUUUAUUGCUAGAUGUCCACAUAUCCGUAGUAAUGGAAACUUUAAUAGUAAUAUCCUCCAGCAAGGCUAUUGUCUUAGCCUUUUCAAAAUCAAACAGCUUAAAACCUUCAUACUCAACAAACCUCAAAGGAAGCUCAUGCAUGAUUAUCAUUCUUGCUAUUUUCUGUCUAGCAAGUGCUUAAUCAAAUGCAGUGGGAUCAAAUGCUGAAAUUGUUGAAGUUUCAGCAUCUUUUUUCUUAUAGACCUUAGAUGCUUGGCUAGGGCUAGAAGCUGGGGCUGGAGCUAAUUCUUGUAUCCGUUUGGGACACCUAUCAAUAUGGUUUAGCAAAUGUGAAGUUCCACUCGAUUGUUGUUCGGCAAAACCUUUGCCAUAAUGAUUACACACUGCCUUCAUUUCUCCAUUAAUUGUUCUCCUUGUGAAAUGGUCCCAAGCUCUAGAUGUUUGUUUCAAUGAGCUUCUAGGUUGUCCUUCCGAGUCUCAUUUUGUACAUUCACUAAUUGAAUGAGUUUGUGAGUUUUCAGCAUUAACAUUACUUCAGGUUUGAGGGUUUAAUUGAACAACAGGAUCGGGAUCAAGAUCAGACAUAAUUAACUUAAAAAAAAGACAUUACAGAGCAGUCAUUAACAAGCUACUUCCUUUUUUAUUUUUUUUGUUUGCUUUCUUAGUAGACUAUGCUAAGAAAAUAAUUUGAGAAUUAAAAGUAAACUUCCAGAACCAAUAAAUUGAAAAAGUUCAAUUUGGUUUAGUUUGUGACGGUUCAAGUAAUUGAAAACAAUGCAAUUGAAGGAAAUAUAAACUUCCAGAACCAAUAAAAAUAACUGAAUUUUCAAUCAAGCAAACUAAAUUAAAAAAAAAUUAACCAAUGAGUAGAACCCAUAAAUCAUAAGAAGUUGAUUAAUUUCCUCAAAAUUCAAUAUAAAAUAAAAUGCUAGGAUUGGAAUUUGUAAACAUGGAGUUUACUUUCGGACUACUGUCACUAUGGAACUGCUAAGAUGCCCUUCUCGCGGUUAUCACAAGAAUAUAGUUAAGGUAGAGGAUCAAAAGUUGAUAGCUACUAAAAUACAAUUAUUAAUUUUUUUAGGAAUAAGAACAAAACAAGAGAGAUUCAAACAAGUUAAAAUAAAAUUCACAUUUUGAAUAACCGAAUUCAGGAUUAACAAAUUAAUAACUUCAGAUUUGGACAACUGGGUAAGUGGUUCGGUAACAAUGAACAAGUACUUGUUCAGGUUUUCCCAAGUAGGAUGUCACCUUAUAUGGUGAAUUCCUGAAAAACCUACACGCAUGAUUAACCGGUAAUUUUCAAUUUAAAAUAUAAAACUCUCAAUAAGAAAAAAGUUGCCACUUGGGAAGUCAAGUCUUGUCUUCUAUUAUAGAAUAUUGCGUGUUUGUUAGCAUCUUGUAACAAUCACUUCUACCAUGACCAUCCUUUUUUCAAAUAUUUUUAUGUGGAAACAUGCUUACCACUUGACCCAUUAAAAGAUUUCCAUGAAAUGCAAGUUCAUGUUGUUUUCAAAAUUCAAUCAUGGUUCCUUUUUUCAAAUAUUGACUUAAGCAGUAAAAAAAUGAGUCAAUAAGUAUGAUUAGUGGCGCAUGUCAGUGACAUUAGCAAGGCUUAUGCUAUGAUAAAACCUUAAAUAUUGAUUUCUUUAUUGUUAAACUUGAAAAUCAACAACAAAACGAGAACUCAUUAUCUACUCUAAGAAAACAUAACAGUAAAAAGUCUUUAGGAGGUAAGGAUGGAAUUCUUUUUUUAAAGUUUAAGGAUGCUUGCAAUCAACAAUGUCAUCAUGCUAAAAUGGCAACUCAAAUCGCCUAUAAUACUUGAAAUUGAACAAUUUUAAAACCCAAAAUUAAUCAAAUAAAAAGAAGCAAAAAUAAAUAAAAAACUCUAAGCCGAGAGAAUAUUUGAGAGUCAACAUGGAAUGCAAAGUUCUAUCACAACUGAACUACAUUGUUUCGUCGGUAUUUUGAGAGACUACACUAAGAAUCCAUUAUCAAUUACUACAGAUCAAACACAAUGAAUCAAAAAAAAAUUGGGGAGUGCAAGUGAAGAAAAAGAGAGAGCUUUGAGUUACAUACACGCAGGUUCGCCUCCACUUGUUUCUUUUCCUCAGUGACAGAGAGAAAAGAGAAGAGAAGAGAUGAGCGGCAAAUGAUGAGUGACGAGCGACGAGCAGCCGACGAGCGAUGAGCGCCGGCGAGCGGCAAGCGGCUGGUGAGUGUUGACAAUCUUAGGGUUUGCUAAAUCGAUAACAUAUGACAUUUGUUUUUAUUUUCUCAUUUUAGUUUUACGAUAUAUAUUUUUUUAACUUAAAAUCGGAUAAAUGAAUUGGAUUUUAGAUAUCCAUUAAAUACCCAUAUCUAUUCAAUAUCUAAUUGGAUAUUUUUUAAAAUAUCCAUAUUCAUAUCUAAAAAAAUUUUGGAUGGAUAUUACCCAAUUGAAUAUAUAAAUAUCCAAUUUGGAUGGACUAAUUUGCCAUUCCUAUUGAGUGGUAGAAUAGUAAAGUUGAGGGGUGGGGAUGGAGGGAGAUGAAGCCCAUUGAAGAUGAUGAUGUUAUA
rnacentral:lncRNA from 1 species